UCAUUAAUGCUCUGGUUGGUUGCUGGGGAGGCAGGGAAAAUAUCAGAAAAUUGUGAAGGAACCCUUACAGUCUGCAGAAUUGCCUAGAAAUUGUGGAAAAAGAAUGGAAAUUAGUGAUCUUGUGAUUAUCAUUCUAAUUUUCCUUCCUUUCCUUUAAUUUAGUGGCAGUCAAAAGUGUCUUCUCCACUUAAUUGCUGAGAAAUGGAUAAAAAUACAUAAAAAUAAAUGGAGCUUAGCUAUUGCUUUUACUUAGGUUAAACUUUAAGCUUGAAAUCAGAUUGCACUUCACAAAAGAUCCAAUGCUUUUAUUCUCCAUGUUUAUUCUGAAACCUCACUUUUACUUGGAUUAAAAUUUAGGAUUGAACUCAUCUUAAGAUGUCUAAUAAUCAUUUUGAGGUUGGCAGUGCAGUUUUCUGCUACAUCUUGGAAGAACUUUGUUUUACAAAUUGAAGAAGUUGUCUUUCAGCUCUCGUCCACAGUAAAGCAAUUGUUUACUUACCCAGGAACAGAAAGUUAGAGUUGAAGCCAGUAGAGGCAUUAUUAAACAGAAUAAUGUGCUUAUUGUCUAUUUCUUUGUUGUUUUUAAUAAGUAAUAAAGCUUUUAUUCAGCAAGGGAUCAAAAGAUUUGUUGAUGUCAAGGGUGAGAGAUCCUUCCUAAUGAAUAGAAUGAAUAUGUUUAUAUACAGAUUACAGAGUAAGAUAUUGAAAAGCUCCAAAGUAAGCCUCUUCUCCAGUUGGUCUUGUCCUCACAAGGGUUCUCUCUUGUGUUUUCUUCAUUGUAGUUUUUCUUUUUGAAAGGUUUCCUCAUCUUCCCUUGUACAUUCCUUCUCUUUAUUUGUAAUACUAUUUUGAUUUCUUACAAAAAAAAAAAAAAAAAGGAAUUAAAGAGAAGUACUGAAUCCUAACUAGUAUAUCAAUGUUUCCUGAAGUUGAUAGUCAAUCUCCCACUUCUAGUGGAAAAAGCAGCCUCCUAAUUUUGUUUCAUAAAAGUCUCCUCACUUUGAAGCCUCCAUUGCAAGUUUGUCCCAGAAUCUUAUUUAUAAGUUAGGAAUGUUUCUAUAAUCCCUUUGGUAAUAACAUUUCUAAGCCCUGAAGCAUCCACUUCUGUUAGACCAUCCAAAGUGUUCAAAAUCUUCUGCUUUUGUGGUGAAUCUUUCUCCCCCCCCUACCAUUGAAACUGUUUGCAGCAGGCGUCUAACUUGGGCUCUUUAUUAAACAACUGUUGAAGUUCAGUUUGAAAGAUAUCACCAUGGUUACUAUUGCACAUGAUGUUCCUCCUACCCCCAAGAAAGCGAAGUAAUCUCCUUCCUAACAUGAUAUUUGUUAGAAAUUUGAAUUUUCCUAUUUGAGGUCUCUUGUAUAUAUUUAUGUAAUAUAUAGCUGUAAAUUAGAUUAGGAAAGUGCGUAUAGCUGUAAAUCAGAUUAGGAAGAAUAAUCUCUGAUUUAUAAGGAUUGUCUUGAUUUAUAGGGAUUAUUAGUUUAUUUUUUUCCUUAAAUUUCUUUGUAAAAUUUUUUUACCACUUUCUCCCACAUGUUAUUUGAGCCACUUUGACAUUCUUCAUCAACCUUCAUUGCUGAUUUUAGUUCAAGUUUUUCAGCCUUCAUUACUGUGUGUUUUGUUUUUAUCUUUUUUCAUCUUUCAUCCAUUCUACCUACAAUUUUUGGGAUUUCACCAUGUCUAAUAUGUUUGAGACUUCUGCCACACACAUAGCUGUCUUUGGUGAAACUUUGCCUCAUCAAACCAUUGGAGAGUUAUAGAAUAUCAAUUCAGUGUAUCCGUUGAAUGGCCAAAACUAUCUCCAAUGGUCUCAACAAGUGCGAAGCUUUUUGAAAGGGAAAGGCAACCUAAGUCAUCUAAUCAGCAUAGGUCCAGAGCCCAAAGAUCCCGAAGUUCAACUAGUGGGAUGAAGAGGAUUCCAUGAUCAUGUCAUGGUUAUGGAAUUCUAUGUUGCCCAAAAUCAGUUGCACGGCUAAAGAGAUUUGGGAGACAGUAAGACAAACUUAUUCUAAGGUACGUGAAGCGGCUCAAAUCUAUAAAAUUAAGCAAAAAAUUUCAACCACUAAAUAAGGAACAAGAUCGGUGAUUGAAUAUUAUAAUCUCAUGAAAAAUCUUUGGCAAGAAAUGGAUUAUUACCAAAAUCUUCAAAUGAAAUGUAGUGAAGAUGCUGGAAUGUUAAGAAAGUUUAUUGAAAGGGAGCAGAUUUUCGAGUUUCUUGCUGAUCUUAAUGUUGAAUUUGAUGAAGUUCGAGUUCAAGUCUUGGGAAAGGAAGAUUUGUCAUCCAUUAAUGAGGUGUUCUCCAUUAUUGGAGCGGAGGAAGGACGACGAGGUGUUAUGAUUGAUUCUCAACCAGCUGAAGGUUCAACCCUUGCUACAACAAAACCAAGAGAUCACAAUUUCAAAGUCGUAAACUCGGGACAAGGUGGCAGUAAUGACAGUAGCAAAUAUGAUUUUUCUAAGAAUAAGGACAAUGUUUGGUGCACAUAUUGUAAAAAACCGCGGCACAUGAAAGAGACAUGCUGGAAACUUCAUGGUAAACCACAGGGUAUCAACUGUGCUAGUGGUUUUAAACAGGGACAACAAUGAAACCAAGUGUAUGUAGCUGAUGCUAAUAAUUCUGUGGAGGAACAAUCAAAGUACAGCAGCAUGGAACUUGAAGAAUUGAAUCAGGAGGACAUUGAUAAGCUGAAAAAAUUUUUAGGUUCAUUGGAGAAACCUAUGGGUGUUUGCUCUCUUGCACAUUCAGACUGAGUUUUGGGGAAGAUGAUUGGACAUGCUAAGGAAAAGAAUGGACUCUACUACCUUGAUACAAGUAGUGGCAAUGUUGGCAAUGGGAAUCAACUACCUCUUUCUUUUUUAUUUGAGUCCUCUUCUUCUAAUAAAGGCCAAAUUUGGCUUUAUCACUUUCGACUUGGCCACCCUUCAUUUAAUGUACUUAAGUUCAUGUUCCCUUGGCUUUUUAAGAAUAUUGAUGUAGACACUUUUCAUUGUGAUGUUUGUGAAUUGCAAAACAUCGUUGUCUCAUUUCCUUGGAGCAGCAAAAGAUCAUCAUUUCCUUUUGCUUUAAUUCAUAGUGAUAUUUGGGGGCCAUCAUGGGUUCCUAAUAUUUUA